AUAUUUUCUAUUCUUACGGAGCAUAGUUGCAAGGACAAUAGAUUUAUUUCCUUCAGUUGUUGACCACCUAUAUGAGUUUUGAAUCAAGUUGCCACCCGAAAUGCCAACAACUAUAAGUUUGCCCCUACAAUUUUGAAUAUUUGAAAAUAGUAUCUAUACAAGGAAUUCACGAAUUAAUUCUUAUAAUUCGGUACAAAAGAGUUGCAAUUAUGUAUAUUAACUACACAUAUCAAAUAUCCAUGAAGGUGACCUCUCUGUACAAUUCAGUAGAUGGGUGUCUCCCGAUGAGUUGAUAAUCAUCAUAUUGAACAACUAUGCCAACUAUGUCUCUAUUAAAUAUCAUUAGUCAAAUUGAUAUACAAAGGUUAUCUCUGUGUUAGUAUUAUAUAUGUUUGAAUGCAUACCUACGAAUGUUUUGUUUGGACACCUCAUAACUUCAUGGAUGGACAUCAAAUGCUUUGGAUAUGUUGGAAAUUAUAGUGAGAGUGACUCAACAAAUGUCCUCACACUGAAGGAGCACUCAUAUGUGUGGUUAAUGAAUCUACACGCCAGUUCUUUAAAGUUAGGCCGAAUAGUAACACCAUGAAUGGUGUACUUACGACCCAUGUGCAAUUUUAAAUCGAAUCUAUGCACUAAUUUUCCGGCAACUAUAACCUCGAUUUUGACACCCUUAGAAUUGCAUCAGAAAAUGUUAGAUGAUGACAAACACAUGUUUAUUCUACCAAUCUAAACAUGCUUGAGACUUAUAGUUCUAUCCAUCAGAAUGAAGUGAAGUCUAUCACCACUCGGAUUAACAGGAUAUUUGACAUCUACCCUCACGCAAAUGCUACAUGUUCUGAAUGUAUCCGAAAAGGUGAGGUCAUCAAAGUCUAUGAAUCUGUAACAAAUACAUUAGAUUAGAUAACAUUUUUUUCAUUUUCUUUUAAAUAUGAGAAAACAUAUUAAACUUACGUAGGUUGCACUGGUUUUUUUGUGAAGUUUGCAAAUGUCCGUUGACAUCUAAGAUUAAUUGGCACCAUCUUAUACAAUUUAAACAAAUGUGUCACAUAUAAAUUUGGAAGCAACACAUUGACAAUACGGAAAAAGAAAACAUACUAAUCAACAAAAGUACAAUAUACAUGCAUAGUAUAUAUAAACUUUGCAAUCAUUGCAUAUUUCGAACAUGAGGCAACGGUGCACUUUAUUUUGAACUGCUCCAAAAAGAUGCUUGAAACAUCUGGAAAAAAUAUUUUUUAUAUAAAUACGCAUGCAUGUGGCCUAAGUACAUGUGAAAUUUUGUUCAAUAAUACAUUGUAUUAUGUGCUGCACAAAAGAAACAAAAUUUCUGCCCCACAACACAAAAAACAAACCCCUAAUUUUCAUGUAUUUUGUUCUUUUGUAUCUUUUACAUGCAAGCAUGUAUAUUGCCGAAAAUUUGGCCCGAUAUACUGCAUUGCUAUAUGUUCAUGCACACUUUUUUUUUAAAAUGUAAAGAUGUGGUUUUUUGAACUUCAAAAUAAAGUGCUCCGUUGCUCAGAAAUCAAUUUUCGUUGCUUAGCUAGCUGCAUUUGGACUGAAGUUCAGCGGUGGUGUGGAGUGGUGUGGACUAAGAUCCACUCUCACUCUGUAGUUUUCUCGAAUCUCCGUGCCCAUUCCGCACCUCCACCAUUCCCCAUCCACUCUCACAUAGAGAGACGAAUGGUGUGGCAACGCAUCCUCCGCCCCGCCGUCCCGCUACCUUGGCUCCGGCUCGGCCAGGGCCGGCUCCGCCUCGCCCCCGUUGCCAACCAGCGUAAUAGCCCGCUCCUCCACUGCUCCGCGUCCGGCGGUGACGGCGGCGGCAGGACCGACAAGGUUCUUGAGGAGCAGAGGAAGCGCCGGGCCGAGCUCACCGCCCGCAUUUCCUCCGACGAGUUCACCGCCCAGGGCCCCGGAUGGCUCGCGCCCGUCGCGGCGAGGCUGGUCAAGCUGGGCCCGCCCGGGGAGCUCGCGGCCGGGAUGCUCGCCAAGGUAGCGGGCGGCGCGCAGGGGCCCGGAGCUGCCGCAGUUGGUCGGGUCGCUGGCUUCCGUCACCGGGGAGGCCUUCUUCCUGCCGUUCUACGACCUCUUCCUCACCUACGGCGGCGUCUUCCGCCUCAACUUCGGGCCCAAGUCUUUCCUCAUCGUCUCUGAUCCGGAUGUAGCUAAGCAUAUCCUGAGGGACAACUCCAAGGCUUAUUCCAAGGGUAUCCUUGCCGAAAUACCAGAGUUUGUGAUGGGCACAGGUCUGAUCCUGGCUGAUGGGGAGGUCUGGCGUGUUCGACGGGGUGCCAUUGUACCAGCAUUGCAUCAGAAGGUUCUAGCCUCCUACUCACAGUCAAGUUUUUGUGUGUAUUGCAGAUAAAUGAACUUGUCUAAUUCCUUCGAUCAAACUGAACUUUGACUGACAAACUAACAGCCCUACGUCUGAAACAAAAAAACUGCAUCUACAGACAUAGUUAAAUACCCGUGCGCUUUAGCAGACAUAGUUAGAUACCCGGGCCUUGAUACGAGCAUGCAAGGAAUCCCAUAGGUGGUUCCUAGCACAUUCAUAGUCACGGCGUCAACGUCAUCUCCCUCUCCGUCGUCUCCGGUGGUUACGCCCCUGCCUUCUACGAGGACUCCAUCGCCAUCGGCGCCUUCGGUGCAGUGAAGAAGGGCAUCGUCAUCUCUGCCUCGGCAGGUAACUCCGGCCCCGGAGAGUACACCGGGCAUCAUCGUCUCUGCCUCAGCAACUCUUCCCCAUAUCGUUGCAUGACCAUGUUGAAUCCAGCGUCAAACGGGUACAUAAAAGUUCACAGUAUCCAUGCAUGUUUCUGCUGAAUCCAGUGUCAUUAAUUUGGCCUCCUAGCCGGAUUAAAUUGUUCUAAGACAUAGGCUCCUAAGUUGCUGUUGAGAGAUGUCGCACUACUGGUUUUAAAGUUAGAUGCAUUUUUUCAUGUUGUAAAUCCCAAUUUAAUUUCACCAGCAGUAUAACUUUCGACAUAUAUUAUGAUUUUCUUUUCCAAAAAUCACCGCAAGGAUGAGUUGUAUAUGGACUUCCAUUAGAAAUUGACACCAUGACAAUGUAUUUAUUUAGUUCAUCAAAGCUAUGUAACACUUCUGUUCAAUAACAAUUUAUUUAGGAAUUUGGUUCUAAAAUAUUUUUAAAUAUAUAUUUUCACUCGGAGUUAAUGUUGCAUCAGUUUGUAGACCUCAAGUUAUAACACUGUCAAUAGACUUGUUAAAUGUGGGAUUUAGUGUUUAUGAUAUUGUGAUUUCCAGAAUUUUUGAAUCUAAAUCAGCAAAUGUGUUAUGUGAAUACAAAAAAAAGUUAUAAUUUUGAUAUUCACACAUCUCUUACUAUUAGCAUCACCUUGAAUAAUUAGUUGAAGUCAGCAGCUAUGUGCAAUUGCGGGUUGAGUGCUUCAAUGACCGGUUUAAAUCAAUAUAGAUAUUAGAGUCUGUUUGGAGUUGAUCAUAAUGGGAGACAAGGAAAUAUCCUUCCCAUAUGUUGGAAUAAUUGUUGUGGACAUUACUAUCAAUAUUUGGUACUACAUAUACCAGUUUAUAUUGUUUCUAGGAGCUGCAAGGCAGCCGUCAUUAAUUCUGAAACAUGUCUCUCCUACUCGCAUUUGUUGGUCCAUUAAGUUCGUUAGCUUUUGGCAUGCACUGUUCGGUAUAUAUAAUUUAAUUUAAGUUUCUUACUGAAAUUUGUAGAAGUGAACACUGAGAAGAACACUAACAUGUCUCAUUCACAGUAUAUUACUUCCCUUAAAAUCAAUCCCGCUGGCAACACUAUCAUUACAGGAAAUGUUCAUUCUCUGUUGUGUAUAGUAUCCCUAUAUUGCAGCCGAACUAAUACUUGGCGUCCCUCAUCUCUCGUUUGUACAUUUACGCACCUUGUACCAUUGCACUGCCAGCUUGGAUUUCCUCGGACUUCGUAACUAAAUUACCAGCAAAGAAUUUUUCUGUUGGUUUAAUUUAAGUUUCUUACUGAAAUUUGUAGAAGUGAACACUGAGAAGAACACUAACACGUCUCAUUCACAGUAUAUUACUUCCCUUAAAAUCAAUCCUGCUGGCAACACUAUCAUUACAGGAAAUGUUCAUUCUCUGUUGUGUAUAGUAUCCCUAUAUUGCAGCCGAACUAGUACUUGGCGUCCCUCAUUUCUCGUUUGUACAUUUACGCACCUUGUACCAUUGCACUGCCAGCUUGGAUUUCCUCGGACUUAGUAAUUAAUUACCAGCAAAGAAUUUUUCUGUUGGUUUAGGUUCUUGUCCAUGGUUGCUGGGAAAAGCUGAGUUCUUUCUGUUGCUACUUUUCAUUCUCAGCAAAUUUCUGAAUCAAACUUUAAAGCAUGAUAAAUUAUGAUUUUUAAUCUCCAACUAUUCCUCCUUUUCCACACUAUUCCUCCUUUUCCUGUGUAAUACACACUAUUCCUCCUUUUCCUAAUUUGUUAUAUGUUGAACAUAAUGCUAACGGACAAUAUAGUACCGUGUACCUCUAAUUUCUAAGUUGGAGCAAUUGAUAGUCGUGUUUUAGUUCCUUUUCAACUAUUGUAGCUGCAUAAUUUGGCAACAAAUGCUUCAUGUGAACAGAAAAUAUUUAACAAUGUCUAAGUUAAUAAAUAUUUGUUGGUUACACUGUGUUAUCAUGGCACUGCAUAUGGAUAUGUCUCUCUUUCAAGUUAAGUUGGUUUUCUGCUUGUUUUUUUUUAAUAACUGGAAGGUAACUAAUAGUUUGAUCUUUAAGUUUAUAGACAAUCAGGUGAUAAGUAAUUGAUCAUACAAGGCAUUUGAACGGGCUUGAAGCAUUGAGCCUUCAUUGGACUUGCCUCAGGCUGGAGUGUGAACAGAAAAUUAUCACCAAUCUCGGUAACCACUCCCUAAAUCUUAAGCGCAACUAUCAGUUUGACAUUUGGAGUCGGCCCGAUUUUUUUUAUUUUUAAAGAGGAUAUCUGCCCACCCCUGCAUAUCAGAAUUCAUACCUUAGGUACCUUGAAGCAAAAAAACUGGUGCAUUGCAAACUUAUUACCAGAAUCUAUAUUCAGUCUUUUUGGACCAACCUACGUGGACGACAACGUGACAUGUUGGAAGGCAGGCCGGAGGAAGCAGAUGGUUCUAGACUGCUGAACAUGAUGUGUAUGUGCGUGCAGAAAGAGGCUGGUGUACCAGACAGCGCUGAUGGAGAGUGGGUUGAACCUGUCUGACCUUAGCGUCGACCAUGUAUCGGUCGGUUCAGAAGAGCCCGGACCUGAGUCCCGCCGCGGCCGUAGAGGAGGAGCCCCGACGCGGCCCCGACGCGGCUGUAGAGGAGGCAGAGCAUGGACCCGAGACCCGCCGCGGCCGUAGAGGAGGAGCCCCAACGCGGCCGUAGAGGAGGCAGAGGCUGGAGCUGAGACCCGACGCGGACGUAGAGGAGGAGCCCCGACGCGGACGUAGAGGAGGAGCCCGACGCGGACGUAGAGGAGGAGCCCGACGGCCGUAGAGGAGGCAGAGGCCGGCGAGCGGCAGGAGGAGCCCGACGCGGCCGUAGAGGAGGCAGAGGCCGGCGAGAGGCUGGGUGACGUUGGCUACGUCGCUGGAAGAUCGUGGAACUGCAAAUCCAUGAUGGGCUGGUCGACGUUGGCACCUAGACGUGGGUUUGACUGGGUCUGGUUUAUUGUUUGACUGGGCCGGUUUUUUGUAUAUAUAUGUCGUUUAGUUUUUGGAGGAUUGUAAAAAAAUUUGUGUGGUGGACGUACGUGGACUUCUCUUCCGUAGCGAUAGUUAGCUGGACAGAUGUUGAGCAAAUGGCACAUUUUCUUCAGAAGAGAGCUGGUUCUGCUCCUCCAUUGUUUUACAUAA